ACUAUAGUGAUGAGAAUCAAACAGUGCAUAGUUCAACUGAUUUCUUUAAAGUGAAGAUAAACAAAAACAUCGAAUAUAGUCUUUCGCUCCUAUCUGAACUGUACA
rnacentral:snoRNA from 1 species